rnacentral:rRNA from 1 species
CAGUAGCCGCGGGAAUACGGAGGAUCCGAGCGUUAUCCGGAAUUAUUGGGUUUAAAGGGUGCGUAGGCGGACAGAUAAGUCAGUGGUGAAAGACGGUGGCUCAACCAUCGCAGUGCCGUUGAUACUGUUUGUCUUGAAUAUGGAUGAGGUAGGCGGAAUGUGGCAAGUAGCGGUGAAAUGCAUAGAUAUGCCACAGAGCACCGAUUGCGAAGGCAGCUUACCAAGGCAAUAUUGACGCUGAGGCACGAAAGCGUGGGGAUCGAACAGGAUUAGAUACCCGUGUAGUCCCUGUCUCUUAUAC